rnacentral:piRNA from 5 species
CUCCUCUCCUACUUGGAUAACUGUGGU